CCCUUGCACUCUUUCAAGCUCCGCACCAUGGAGAGGACACCCUCGAACCUGCAGCUACAGAAUACUGACAGACGGGUCCGUCACGUAAGUACGGAGAACAGGAACUUAAUAUUCUCCUUUAACGGUCCUGAACCUGAAUUUCGCAAGUAGGCUGGUCAGCACUCUUUCAUACUGGCCAACCAUCCAUCAGCAGCCAAUUCAGACUCAAGAAACCAGAUGGCACGAGCCACCUGCUUUAAUUGAUUUGAAUCGAUUAAUUGCUGAGCAAAUGAAAGCUGUUACCCUUGGCGGCUCAACAAGACAAAUGUCAAUGGAUAACAAAGCCUUUUUUAUUCUUUAAUGUGUAACCCUUCUUUUAAAUUGCCGUGCUCAUACAGUUACGCUAAUAGCAAGUCAAAGUAGGUUUGGGAUCACUUUGAGGUCAAUGGCAAGGUACCUGCCUGUCCUCGUCUGUCAGUGCUGAGAAAGGGAGUCCAGAUUGUGUACUGAACAGUCCUAACAGCCUCGUCCUGACUCAUCAGCCACCAACAAAUAUAGAACAGGGGUGAUUCAGGAUUCUUUUCCUUUGCCACUGCGAUGAUUUCCGCAAAUUGAGCUCAACGGUACAGAUGCAAGCAUUUUUCACUUUGCAAUGAUGUUUAAUAAUUACUGAUGCAUCCAUUGAAGGAAUCUGUACUUUGGAAUGCUACCUUAUGUCUAAUAAUGAUAUUGUACAUAACGCAGAAGGGCACUGGAAAUGUAAAAUUUGAUUUAACUUUAGGGUUUAGAUUAUGCCAUACAGCCAAUACAUCUGAAAUAUAUACUGCAGAGACACUGCACGUGUAAUUGAAAAGCCCAGCCGUUUCAUUGACUUGGAGCUUCGGGUCGGCCUUGUGCCGACAUGUUUCAUAACCAGCCAUUGCUUCUUGUUGAGGUCACAUAUUGCUUCCUCUCUUUUAACAUUGUGAGAGAAUUUCAGGUUCCGGAAGGCUCCACCAGCGCUGCGUGAGCGUACGGGUCCUUACACUCAGUGUAUUUGACAAGCUGAGCUUGACACUCAUCCUGAUGGGAGUGUCAGUUUGUCAAAUACCCCAAGUGUGAGGUCACUUGUCAUCGAGGUCCAGGUCCAUGGUCUUGCUCCCGGGAACCAGAAGGAGAGAGUCUGCUGGUUACUCUGGCCAUAGUUCCUGAGGCAGAUUGGAGAGGCAGGUGCAGACUAAAGAGGUGGGUGGAUGAUGGAAGGUGGGUGAGUAUAUUUCUGCAUGAAUGCUUGAGUCUGCAUACAUUUAUAAAACAAGGCUUUUGGUUUUCCUCUUAAAUUUAAUGGAUGUUAAAGCCUGUGGGGAAAAAGACAAACUCACUGUGAAGUCAGAGCCCUUAAACAGUUCACUUUUUAACCCCCCCCCCCCGAAUACAUUUCAGAUGGUGUCUGAUUCAGCUGUGGUGGUACAAGACACUAUGUUUUAUUAUUAAUUCUCAGAAAAAAAAAUGUUUGCAGAUCUGUACAAGGGAAGAACAUGAAAGCGUAGCCAAGUCACAUGGAGAAAAAAAGAGCGUUGCUGGUUCUUGCUGUUUCUUCACAGUGUAUGCUAAUUAAGGCAGCCAGGACACACACGCAGAGGAUGUGGCCUAUCUCGUGAUCAAAAGGCUAUAUAAGGAGAUACUCUCUGCGGGCAGAGGCGAAACAACGCUGCUCUCAUGAAUUCAGAGUUCGUUUAUGCAGUGCAUUAGGCAGCUGCUGCAUGCUGCAAAACCCUUAAAUUUUUACUUCCAGGGCUUUGCUUUGGUGCGAUGACUCACGGGUUACAGUGCACACUGGAUUUAUGGCAAUAUCUGAAUAGUGGUAUCUCAUUGCAUCUGGAUUGCCAGUAAAAACAUCUAUCCCUCAAACAAGUUUCCAUGAAGAUCGAGUAAACUACUUUGAGUGAUCUGUAAAUAUUGCCAGAGCUCUGCUGUUGGGUAAACCAAAAAACAUAGCAGAAACUGAGAGGUACACAACAAACAUCUGGUUUGAAAGAACGUGAAAUCUGCUUGAAAAUUGAGAGAUCACAGCGGUUUAUAAUCAAUUCCACAAAGUGCUGUGGUUCCUCUGGGUAUUUCAGUGCCAUGCCUAUUGCCUUAGUACUAGGACAGGGAUCUCAAAUCCUGCAGAACCACAGUACCUGCUGGUUUAAGUAUUUACAUCACCCUACAUUCUGUCAGCGGUUUGUUUUCUUCUCCUGGAUGCUGUAAUGACCAGAUGUGUUUUGUCUGCUGCCCAAAGAAUUGCUUUGUGUAUUCUGAUCAAGCUGAUUAGAUGGAUGAAAAAUGUAUAGGUCAGUAGACCAGUAGACUGAUCUGUACACAGCUCUGUGUGUGUGUGUGUGUGUGUGUGUGUGUGUGAGAGAGAGAGAGAGAGAGAGAGAGAGAGAUUUGAUUUUUGAAACUCCUUUCAUUGGGACAUUGUUCAAACACAGAAAUUACAGAACUUCAAAAAAACAGAUCAAACAGCAAAAAACAAGCCCAAACAACAACCUCAGGCAGAGAGAGAGAGAGAGAGAGAGAGAGAGAGAGAGAGAGCUGGGUUUGACUUAGUGAAGGUUUCCUUGCCAACCUUUUUCCUAGACCUGCAGGUGUUCCACCAGUAAUCCUGUAAGUGGCCUUCAUUUGGGCCUUCAUCUCAUUUGGGCUCUUUGUUGAACUUGUUCUUUUGCUGGGGAGCUGGGGAAGGUCACUAUGCUUUUUCUGUUUUUGGUUUGAUAUUUUCUUUUAUUUAUUAUUAUUAUUUUUUUUACAGCUGAGAACAUUUAAUGUCAGGUUGUGGUGCAGUCACACUUCUUUCCUACCAAUAUACAAAUAACAUACCUUUCCCUUCACUCCAGCAUUAGGAUAGCGCUAGUUGAGUCAAGAUCAAAUGUAAACACUUGGAAUGUACGUUUACUGUGUCAAACUUAUUCACUGCCAGUUUAAAGAUAGACAUCAAACUUCAAAAUCACUAACCAAGGUGCUUACAUUUGGAAUUAAUUUGGAAUUCGAUACAUUUGGAAUUCAUUCCCCUCCCCCUCCCCCUCCCCCUCCCCUCCAUAUCACUGACCUCUCCUCAAGUUUGUUUAAUGAAAUCUGUUGCUACAUUUUUUUAUUUACUGAACUGAAUGAGCCAACAGUAUAAACUCAUGAUAGCAGUUAGGGUACCCCCACAUAUUCUCAUUAUGGAUGGUAAAUGUGAACUUUUAUGUUGUAUUUAUGUGAAAAUGAAUAAAAUUUUAAUAAAAACAUG